GCCUUCGGUGGUGUAAUGGUAGCACGCACCACCGGUAUAUGUGAAACGCGGGUUUGACUCCAGCCUAAGGCA